ACGGAAUAGAUACCCGGGUAGUCCCAGCUGUAAACGAUGCAGACUAGGUGUUUGGACGGCCACGUGCCGUUCUAGUGCCGCAGGGAAGCUGUUAAGUCUGCCGCCUGGGGAGUACGAUCGCAAGAUUGAAACUUAAAGGAAUUGGCGGGGGAGCACCACAGGGGGUGAAGCUUGCGGUUUAAUUGGAGUCAACGCCGGAAAUCUCACCGGGAGCGACAGCAGUAUGAAAGCCAGAUUGAAGGUCUUGCUAGACGAGCUGAGAGGAGGUGCAUGGCCGUCGCCAGUUCGUGCCGUGAGGUGUCCUGUUAAGUCAGGCAACGAUCGAGACCCGCGUCCUCUGUUGCAACCAGCUUUGUGCUGGGCACACUGAGGAGACCGCCACUGAUAAAGUGGGGGUAAGGAGCGGGCCACGGCAGGUCAGUAUGCCCCGGAAUCUCCCGGGCCACACGCGAGCUGCAAUGGCAAGUACAAUGGGUUCCGACCUCGAAAGGGGUAGGCAAUCUCGAAAGCUUGCCGUAGUUGGAAUUGAGGGUU
rnacentral:rRNA from 1 species